GUUGAGUCGUCCCACUCGCUUCAACUGCGUCUACGACAAGUGGGGGUGACUGUGACGUCGUGGUACAACGGCUCGCCGCGUAUGCGCCGGGUCCAGAGGUCAAAUCUUGCUUAUGCGCACCGGCCGCGCCCACGCGUUCUUACUACUUUAAUUCUUAUUUGCUUAAUUGUACUAUAUUGUUAUAUUUAAAGUCAUUAUACGUAUUUACAUGUUAUACAGUCCACUAGUAUUAUUUACUCCACCUGCUGAGCUAUCGUCGCAUCAUAUGGUCCUUCUCCCAAGAAAAAUUGAACUGGACAAAGAAGACAAAGGACUUUGGAGGACAUCGUACACGUCACCGAGUGACUCAGUGAUUAUUAUCAAGUUUCUUCGCUGUGAACAUUGUUACGUCGUGAUAUAUCGGCACGGCUUGAGACUUUUCGGCCGUCUUAGCUGACGUCACCCAACUGACACGAGAAGAAACGGAAUUUGGGCUACUCAUCAUUCGUCAUCAUAACGGACAGCAAAUACACGUGUUCGGAUUGUCGUCGUGCAUUGAGAUAUCUGACAAGAAUACUCCUCGGCACAGUCAUCAUCAGUGGUUUGCACCGGAAAACAGUGAGCUCGUUCCAAUUCCUUAUUUAAUCAUCUCAUCAUCUUUCCAUCAUCAUAAUCAUAUUCAUUAUCAUCCAUAUCCUACAUUUCAUUCAUUUUUUACCUCAUAAUAAUUAAAGAACGGUGUUACAUUUUUGCAAGUCAUCUCCACAUUAUUUCAUCAUAUUUCAUCCCAUUUUACCAUUUAUUUCAACUGUUUCAUCUCUUCAUUCAUUCAUUUCACUAUAAUUUAAUCAUAUCAAUUGCAGUGUCGUUUUAUAUUUCAGCUAAAAUCUAAUAUUAUUAUCUUAUAACGUUAACAUUACGCAGCGAUUAUCAGUGCACAAACGCCUUGCAUUUUUAAAUAGCAAUACACAUUCGGCUACAAUCUUGCUCGUGCACUUUAUCUUGCAACUCGUUGCUAUUAUUUUAUUAGAAGUGUUAACUUGCUGUUAGUUUAUAUAUUUCCUUAGUGCUUUAUUACAAAAAUCUAUCGCCUUCUCUUAAAAUGUCUGACAUUAAAAGCCUUAUUAAGAAACGUGCUUCAAUUAAAGCAAAGCUUACGCAAUUUUCUUCAUACUUGAACAUUUCCAAGUCAUGUGAACAGUUGAGCGAAGUUCAGAUUGUUGAGGUUGAGUAUAGACUUAAUACUAUCGAAAAUCUAUAUGAUAAAUACGACGUGUUACAGGCCGACAUGGAAGAGAUGGUGGACGACCCUAGCGAGCAAUAUGCGGAGCGUGAGGAGUUCGAAAAGCAGUACUACAGCUUGGUGGCUGCAGCACGUCAGCUGAUCAGCAAUGCUCGCAAGCAAGCUUCAGGGAACUCCAUAGCCGAGGUUGAUGUUUCUUGUUCUAAGCACACACACAAACAUAAUUCUAUCCGUUUGCCUAAAAUUGACCUUCCUAAGUUUUCCGGCAGCUAUCAUGAUUGGUUAGAGUUUAGAGACACUUUCAUUUCUAUAAUACACGAUAACGACAGCAUAGAUAACAUAAAUAAAUUACAUUAUCUUCGCGCCUCCUUAAAGGGUAGUGCUUCCUUGAUUAUUGACAAUCUUGACUUUAGAUCAGAUAACUACGACUCUGCCUGGAAGUUGCUCUGUGAUAGGUAUGAUAAUAAAAGGUUAUUAGUUAAUAACCACGUUCAAUCACUUUUUAAUGUGCAGUCCAUCAGCAAGGAAUCAAGUAAGUCACUAAGACAUAUUGUUGACACCACAAAUAAAAAUUUAAGAGCGUUAUCUACACUGGGUCAACCUGUUGAGUACUGGGACACACUGAUCAUUUAUAUAAUGACAUGUAAACUUGACCAGGUGACAAACCGAGAGUGGGAGGAGCAUAGGAACUCAUUGUCAGAACCUCCAACAUUGGCUGUAUUUAUUGAAUUCAUUCGUAACAGGGCUGAUUUAUUAGAAACGCUUGAGGAAUCCAAGUCAUUGUUUACUAAAGGCGAAGGUGUACAUGUCAACAAUAUUAAACAAAGUAAACAUUCUUCGGGUUCUAGUGAAACUUCUCGCAGUCCUUUAUCAUGUCCAAUGUGUCAAAAAGAUCACUUCAUUUUUCAAUGCGAUAAAUUCAAAAGCUUGCCUGUACAAUCACGUAUCAGUAAAGCUCAAACUUCCAAUGUAUGUUUAAAUUGUCUUCGACCAGGUCAUAAUAUUUAUAGAUGUAAAUUGGGUCACUGUAAGUAUUGUCGUGAGAAGCACAAUACAUUGUUGCACUUUGAUCGCGAUACCGUUGUUCCUAACCAACCGACUAGUACUUUAGCGUCUAUCAAUCACCUUUCUACAUCUCGAGUUGUCUUACUUUCCACAGCGCUGGUGAAUGUGUCGGAUGCUGAAGGCAACGUUCAUACUGCACGAAUCCUGCUGGAUAACGGGAGUACGACUAACCUUAUGUCACAGGAGUUGGCUCGUCAACUUAACAUUUCCACCUAUACAGUCGAGUCUAAGGAUACAUCGGUGGAUCACGUGUGAAUCAUCAUCUUCUAUGCAGUUGCAUGUGUUCACCGACGCAUCUGAAAGGGCGUAUGGUGCUUGUUUGCAUGUCCGCAGCGUAUCGCUUAGUGGACGGAUCGUUAAGGUGCUUCCUGCUAGAGACGGCAUUGCACGAGUCGCCGACAUCCGCACACGUAAGGGUGUCAUUCGGCGAGCGUUCAAUACAAUUUGCCCGUUACCCGUCGCCACUGCUGUUGAAGACACUUCAACGGGGGGAGUAUGUUGAGUCGUCCCACUCGCUUCAACUGCGUCUACGACAAGUGGGGGUGACUGUGACGUCGUGGUACAACGGCUCGCCGCGUAUGCGCCGGGUCCAGAGGUCAAAUCUUGCUUAUGCGCACCAGCCGCGCCCACGCGUUCUUACUACUUUAAUUCUUAUUUGCUUAAUUGUACUAUAUUGUUAUAUUUAAAGUCAUUAUACGUAUUUACAUGUUAUACA
rnacentral:misc_RNA from 1 species